UCCCCCUGUAUUGGGAACUCAGAGCCUUAGCCACUGGACCAGCAGGGAAGUCCCCUGGGAUGACUCUUAAUAUCUCAUUCUUCACCCUCACUCAAAAGCCCACCUCUUCCAAAGAAGGCUCCAUGGGCUGCUCAGAAGGGAAGUGAAAGCUUUCCUUAGCUCUGUUCAGGACUAACUCUGGGCCCAAGGUCACACCCACAAGGCCCUGACCCGGGUGAGUCCACUCAGGACUGGAACUUUGCACCCCUUGGACAGAAUGGAACUUGAAAAGCCUGUGUCAAAAUCAGGUGUCUUGAAUGAAGGGAGGAAGUAUUGACCACCCUGAAGGCAGAUCCAAAGGCAUACUAGGGUAAGGGCUGCCAGUAAGGGAAGAGGGUUGUGGGGUUGGGACAGGCAGGCCCAGGGCAGCAGGGAGCAUCGGUGAAAUCCUCCCGGAAGAGGGGGCACAGACCCUAGUCUCCUCCACUCCCUUCUCUGUUCCCAAGGUGAUCCUUUCUCCAGAAAAUGUUCAAUUUCCUAUUAGGCUGUAGAGGAAAUCAGUGGCCGAAUCGUUUCUGGGCUCUGGGGAGUGUGCUCAAGAUCAGACACAGAUUAACGACUCCUGGAAUCAGGUGGUGCUGAGAGGCUCACGGUCUGGAUACAGCAGCUGAGAGCCAAGGGACACAGUCAGUUGUGUGCUCACUGCUAGGUCACAGGGGCCCACUGCUGCCCCCCAGCCUCCGAGACUGCUGCUGGCCACUCUCUGACGGCACAUCCAGGAGUCACACGCCUUGGGACAGGGCCACUGCUACCCAGAGGUGUUCUAGUGCAGUCAGGCAGAAAGCCAAUCUGGAUGCCCUGGAUUUCAUAGACUGCCAUCUAAUCCAGUUAGGGGAGGAAGUAGAAGUAAUGAAAUCAAGGGUGAGGUCUCCAGAGAUGCCUCCGCCAGUUCUGAAAGCAGGGACACAUUGCUGAGAGAGCCCCUUCCCCCACAGCCUGUCAGCCUGAUAUCCACCCUGUGUGGUCCCAGGACCAGGUGGGUCAAUCUGGUGACCCAGAGCCAACACUUACUGUACCUCUGAUCAAGGCUGGACACUCACCAGAUCCUCCAGAUGGGAACAGAACUCUGCCUGAAUCCUGUAUCCUGAUUUCAGCCUUGCUGUACUGGACUGCCUGCCUACAGAAGUGUGAGCUCAUACAUGAGUGUUGCUUUAAGCCACUAAGUUUGUGGUAGUUUUUAACACAGCGACAGAAGCAAAUAUCCUAGUUCAUUCACUCUUGUAGCAUCUCAAUCCCAGGGAGCCAGGCUUGGCAUGGGAGGAGUUAGAGGCUGACACCCAGGUCUGAGUGGCCCUCUGUUCUCAACUCUUUCUUCCUAAUCUGUUUUUUUCAAGCCUUAACUCACCCUCAGGAAUAGCAGCCCCCUCCUUCCAAAAGCUCCAGAACAAGGUCAGCAAUUGAGAAGGAGGCGGCAACCCACUGAGAGGCUACAGGAGCUGGCACAUGGGCUGCCAGGCCCUGAGCUUUCCCUGACCAUGGUCUUAUGUUGGAGGAAAGCAGCUGGAAGGAGAGAUCCACCGUGGGGGCCUCACUAUUUCUGGUUUCCAGCUUGGUGUCCUGGCGGAGGUGAAGGGAACCAUCGGCCUCACCGGCCAGGGCAAGCAGCUGCUGCCACCGUUGCCCACUGUCCCAGGUUCCCUAGGACAGUGCCUGGGGAGGCUGUGCACAGGCGGUGGAAGGGAGGCGGGAGCUGGCCUCCCACCUCUGAGCUCCCACCUCUGCUCACUCUAACUACUUCCAUACCCCCACUGAGCCCAAGCCUGCAGGAGAGCUGACUGGCUCCUUCAGGCUUGCCUCCUGGCAAAGUGGGGAAGCUCUAAUUUGUUGAGGUCUGU